UACGUAGGGUGCAAGCGUUUAAUCGGAAUUACUGGGCGUAAAGCGUGCGCAGGCGGUUGUGUAAGACAGAUGUGAAAUCCCCGGGCUCAACCUGGGAACUGCAUUUGUGACUGCACAGCUGGAGUGCGGCAGAGGGGGAUGGAAUUCCGCAUGUAGCAGUGAAAUGCGUAGAUAUGCGGAGGAACACCGAUGGCGAAGGCAAUCCCCUGGACCUGUACUGACGCUCAUGCACGAAAGCGUGGGGAGCAAACAGGAU
rnacentral:rRNA from 1 species